CGGCCUCUGAUGAUGGCCUAUUCCUCAUGUUCAUGUUCUGUACAGGAACAAUCGAAGCAAAAAUGACGAUACCGAUGAUCUUUUGUCCCAGUCAUGCAAGUAAAGAAAGCUUGGGUGAUUCGAGGAAUAAAAGUCAUGUCGAGCUUUCGGCACCAACCUCAUCCAUGCUACCAGCCCUAUCGGUUAAGGAGUUUUUGAUUUGAGGCAGUGGAUUGAUCGGGUAAAAGUGUUGAUAUUCGGCAGACGUAAUGGCGGGUCCCCCAAGAGCAUGGAUUUAGUUUCCCUUCAAGAGGAGAUGGUGGGGUUCAAAACCUGGGUUGAUCUUGCACACAUGCUCAAAAGAGAAACCGAUCGGUGGACCCGGAAUUCUGGUUGAAUGUGUGAGACUUUCGUUAUUUUCUUGAACUAUGGAGCUAGCUUUUGCAUGCCACCGCUCCCAGACGUAUCUAUACGUUGCCACAUAGCAGAUGUGUUGCAGCAACACUGCCUUAUUAAUUGCCAACAAAGGUUUCUGUAAUAUUCCUAGCAGCUACAUAUAGGCUAUCUAUCUAUCAACUAAUCUACGUACAUAUAUAUGUCCCUGAAACAUUUCAUCAAUUCAUAACUCUGCUCGAAAACCAGCAGAUGGCACAUGACAAUGCAGAACAUAGCAAAUAACUCAAUAAAAAUAGGGCGAGAAAAACAAAGGAAAUACUCCACGCAUAAAUUCGAAGAGCACUGGCUCGUAUAAAUACCCAUGCUUCCGCGAAAAUAAUCAGAGAACGGUGAGGGAGAAGGGCCCUUGCGGUCGACGAGAUGUAUAAAGCAAGGACGAUGACGGAUGUGAGGGCAG
rnacentral:sRNA from 1 species